rnacentral:lncRNA from 1 species
CCCAUUAAAAAAUAGCCCAAACAAAUAAAUUCAUCUGCAAAAUCUCAAACCACAGGGAUAAGGUCGUGUUUGGUUUUCUAGUAUUUUGUAUCCUCGUCCCCGUUUCUCUCCUUUUUUUUCUGCUUUGCCAAACACGCCUAAAGGAUUCUCCAUCUUUCUAGCAGUCUUUUCUCCUUGAUUAUGUACUUGCAUCAAUCAAAGUUUUCAUUUCACUUACCAUUGUAACAAGAAACCAUCAAGUGACGCUCCGAUCCGAAAGUCGCCGGAAAACACUGUAUCUUGGCUACCCAAAUCACUGUUUUCAGUUUAGACCCACAUGGAAAAAGAGCCUCUUCUCCCUUAUGUCAACCCCAGAUGGCCACCAUAAACAAUCUUACUCUGCCCUUUACCCGAAGACAAUGAAAUUACCAACCCAACAUUGCCCAUCACCCCAUCUGCAAAAGAAUUCAAAUAAAGGCUCAUAUUGUUGGAAUUUGAAAAGAUAACUAGUUGUAGUAAUUUACGUAAUAGUAAAAUGUAGAAAUAAAACUUAUCGACUAAUCGAGUCUCGUAUGAUGCCCUAAAGUCAACUGUUGCGACUUCUGUGAACACUCAAUACCAAAAUAUAACGAUCACAAAUCGC